rnacentral:lncRNA from 1 species
AUCUGCUAAAACCACACGCCAAGCAAUCAAAACACAAAAUAAAGACAAGAAAAGGUAAUAAAUCGAAAAGAGAGCAAAGUACGUCUUAUUCCGAAUUCGCGUUUGAGCGUUACAACAAGGUAAAAGCCUGGGCUACGAGAGCUGUCGGCGAGAUUCCUAGUUUUAAAACCCUAAAGCUGCUAAACCUAAUUGAGUCGCAGUUCGAAUAACAAAAACGGAAAAUUACCUAAACUGCUCUAAGUGCUAAGUUUGCUGUGAAAAAGUUCUCUCCUGUGCCUCUCCCCUAGAACUCCUUAUAUACUCCUCCAAAGUCGGUUUUAGCUUUUUCCCUUCUGCCCUUAACAAGUCAUAGCU